rnacentral:rRNA from 1 species
GAUCCUGGCUCAGGAUGAACGCUAGCUACAGGCUUAACACAUGCAAGUCGAGGGGCAGCAUGGUCUUAGCUUGCUAAGGCCGAUGGCGACCGGCGCACGGGUGAGUAACACGUAUCCAACCUGCCGUCUACUCUUGGACAGCCUUCUGAAAGGAAGAUUAAUACAAGAUGGCAUCAUGAGUCCGCAUGUUCACAUGAUUAAAGGUAUUCCGUGACGA